ensembl:lncRNA
UUUUGUGUAGGCUUAGCCUGGCAUAACGUUUUGUGUAGGCUUACCCUGGCAUAACGUUUUGUGUAGGCUUACCCUGGCAUAACGUUUUGUGUAGGCUUAGCCUGGCAUAACGUUUUGUGUAGGCUUACCCUGGCAUAACGUUUUGUGUAGGCUUACCCUGGCAUAACGUUUUGUGUAGGCUUACCCUGGCAUAACGUUUUGUGUAGGCUUAGCCUGGCAUAACGUUUUGUGUAGGCUUACCCUGGCAUAACGUUUUGUGUAGGCUUACCCUGGCAUAACGUUUUGUGUAGGCUUACCCUGGCAUAACGUUUUGUGUAGGCUUACCCUGGCAUAACGUUUUGUGUAGGCUUAGCCUGGCAUAACGUUUUGUGUAGGCUUACCCUGGUAUAACGUUUUAUGUAGGCUUACCCUGGCAUGACGUUUUGUGUAGGCUUACCCUGGCAUGACGUUUUGUGUAGGCUUACCCUGGCAUAACGUUUUGUGUAGGCUUACCCUGGCAUGACGUUUUGUGUAGGCUUACCCUGGCAUAACGUUUUGUGUAGGCUUAGCCUGGCAUAACGUUUUGUGUAGGCUUACCCUGGCAUAACGUUUUGUGUAGGCUUACCCUGGCAUAACGUUUUGUGUAGGCUUACCCUGGCAUAACGUUUUGUGUAGGCUUAGCCUGGCAUAACGUUUUGUGUAGGCUUAGCCUGGCAUAACGUUUUGUGUAGGCUUACCCUGGCAUAACGUUUUGUGUAGGCUUACCCUGGCAUAACGUUUUGUGUAGGCUUACCCUGGCAUAACGUUUUGUGUAGGCUUACCCUGGCAUAACGUUUUGUGUAGGCUUACCCUGGCAUAACGUUUUGUGUAGGCUUACCCUGGCAUAACGUUUUGCUGACCAUUUAAAAUCUCUCUCGGACAAGGUGACUUUCAUCUGCAUUUGCUCUCAGAUUCAAAAAUGACAAUCAGCAUCAAAGUAGACAUCAUGCAAAACUGCAAAUCCCUGCAAGCUCCUGCACGUCAUCUCUAGCUGACACAUUUGCUAACAGUUAUUGUGUCAAUUUAUAACUUGCACAAAAGAGAAAUGUAGCAUAAAGAAAUGUAGCCAAUGUAGCCAAUGUAUUCAUUAGUACAUUUAGCUAACAUUAGAUAGUUAACACAGAAAUUCUUACCUUUGCCUCGAUUCGGCAGUCUGGUCCAGAUCAUCAUGGCAUUUGUAGUUCUUUAUGAUAGCCACAUUAGCAGCUAAUUAGCAUUUAAUUUGGGGGGAAAAUGCAGGAAAAUAUAUUGAUAAAAAUCACCUUGUCCAAGAUAGAUUUUCAUGGUUAUCAAAAUGUCACACCAGGGUAAGACUACAUGUUUAAGUGUUUCUAAAAUCCCAUACGGGAAAAAUGAAUGUUGGAAAAACAAUUGGAACCAUUUCGCUGCUUGACCUCUAGGUUUUUAUGGGUGUUAUGACUCAGACUGUUGCACUCCAUUAUCGAUCUUUGUAAAGGUCAACUCGUAUGGAAGAAUUAGCAAUUUUGUUACAACUUUGUUGUAGUGAUAUGGUCAUAUUAACAUUAUAUUGAGCAUCUUCUGUGAGGUAUGUAUCAGUUAAACAUUUGUUAUUGAUCAACUUGAGCUACAGAAUCACUGAUUCUCCAUGAUGAUUAUUUACCCAAACUGGGAAUUGUACAUGUUAUCAUCACUCUGUGAUUAGAAAUCAAUGAAAUGUUUAAAGAUCAGACCUUGUGUGGGAAAAUGUUUCCCACAUUAUUUGAAUAAUGAUAUAUUGCAUAUAGUAAAGGGGAGAAAAUGUUCUCUCAUUUGUUUUUUAUAGACAAUAUGUUGUCUUUUAUAAAGAUAGUAAAUGUCCUAUACUCUGUUAGAGUAUCAUAUGUCUUGGAGAUUGAUCCAAGUUCUGGUUGUGAUGUGUAAUCACCUAAACUAUUCACCUUAUAUGUAGGUGUUCAAGUCUAUGAUGCGACUCCUUGAGGCAAUAUCAAUAAAAUCCAAAAUAAUGAAAUUAAAUCA